ACACAAUCUAUAAAAUAUAGACGCCUGGAAUUUUCUUCAGCGAGGCAGCUGCUUCACAGAAAAAACACACGCUACAAUACACAUAUACACAAAGAGAGACCUGGAAAAUUGAAGAAGCUGCGCAGCUUUGGUUACUUCUUCACAAAAAACAUACACACAAAAUACACAAUAUAGGGACGCCUAUACAGAAGAAGGGGUUUUGCGCAGCUGGGGGCUGCUUCUUCACAACAAAAUACGCAUAUACAAAAGAGAAGAUAGAGAAACACCUGGAAAAAUUUUGAACGCAGCUGCGCAGCUCUUGGACGCAACCCCCGACGAUCUCUCUUCUUCUCCGACCAAAUGAACCCCCUCCCAUUGAUUCAUCUCCUCCCGAAACUCAAUCAACUAAAGCCAUCGAGACCAGCGGAGCCCGUCGGUUGGAAACCCAGCAGAAACAGUGACGAGCUCGCCGCAAAAUGAGUUGACACCACCACCAAAGCCUCGCCUCGACACUACUGCUUCAUAUUUCGUCCAUCCUUUAAACCUCAGGACUUUUCUUGACUCAAAACCAGUCCAGCAAUCUGUCGUAGUGGAAAAUUAUCUGCGCUUGAGACCAUGUCGAGAUCUAUCGAUUUAAAGCUCGUUGUUUGAAGCUUCGACAAGAGGUUCCCGUUCGAGGUUAUCGCAUCGAAGUCUCCGGUGCUGGUUCUGUCGCCGGGAGGGUAUUCACCUUCGG
rnacentral:lncRNA from 1 species